rnacentral:rRNA from 1 species
AGUAACGUGUGGGCAACCUGCCCUAUACUGGGGAAUAAUCACUGGAAACGGUGACUAAUACCGCAUGUCAUUACGGAAGGGCAUCCUUCUGUAAGAAAAGGAAGUAAUUCGGUAUAGGAUGGGCCCGCAUCUGAUUAGCUAGUUGGUGAGAUAACAGCCCACCAAGGCGACGAUCAGUAGCCGACCUGAGAGGGUGAUCGGCCACAUUGGGACUGAGACACGGCCCAA